ensembl:lncRNA
GGCGAAAAUGUCGACGGAGCGCGCUCGGCUCGGUAUUUUUCGGCAGCAGAGCAAGAACUCUUGAGUGAGGGAUUUCAGGAGUUUCAGAGUUUAAUUAAAACGCAAGGGAACACUGCAAAGGCUGCAAAAGCAAGGAGAGAGGGCUGGCAGAAAGUUGCUGACAAAUUAAACUCGUAAGUAAUUUAAUAAUAACAAUAAUAAUGGAGUGGGUUGAUAUAGCGCUUUUCAAGGCACCCAAAGCGCUUUACAAUGCCACUAUUCAGUCACUCUCACAUUCACACACUGGUGGAGGCAGCUACGGUUGUAGCCACAGCUGCCCUGGGGCAGACUGACAGAAGCCAGGCUGCCAUAUCGCGCCAUCGGCCCCUCUGGCCAACACCAGUAGGCGAGCCACGACAGGACCCACUAGAACAUGGGAACAGCAACCAAGAAAAGGGCAGAGCAACAAAAGACAGGUGGUGGUCCUGCACCCCCUCGUCAACAAGUUGGUUAAGUGAAUAAUACCCUCACGGGAAAAUCGAUAUCUCUCUAUGAGCACACUGAGCUAAAGGAUCCUGUCUGUCCCGCAAUAUACGCUGGAUUCUGAGGACUCUCCUUAUCAAUCUUGCACCUUCCGCAAUGGGUGGCUCGCGUAUACAGACAGGACAUGGCUGCGACAGGCUUCCCAAAUCCACCUUCGCUUUUAUAGCCGUGGUCUCCCAUCUUGAUUACAUGAAGUAAUUUACAAUUACUACUCUGAAAUAUGAAUUACAUCUGUAAUAAUCACAUACAUGUAAUAGAAUGUUAAUAGUACAUUUCCCU